AUUUAUCUAAUAUAAAUAGUAUAUUUAACUUCCAAUUAAAAAGUCUGUAAUACAGGAUAAAUA
rnacentral:tRNA from 1 species